rnacentral:rRNA from 1 species
GACGAACGCUGGCGGCGUGCUUAACACAUGCAAGUCGAACGGAAAGGCCCUGCUUUUGUGGGGUGCUCGAGUGGCGAACGGGUGAGUAACACGUGAGUAACCUGCCCUUGACUUUGGGAUAACUUCAGGAAACUGGGGCUAAUACCGGAUAGGAGCUCCUGCUGCAUGGGGGGGGUUGGAAAGUUUCGGCGGUUGGGGAUGGACUCGCGGCUUAUCAGCUUGUUGGUGGGGUAGUGGCUUACCAAGGCUUUGACGGGUAGCCGGCCUGAGAGGGUGACCGGCCACAUUGGGACUGAGAUACGGACCAGACUCCUACGGGAGGCAGCAGCGGGGAAUAUUGCACAAUGGGCGGAAGCCUGAUGCAGCAACGCCGCGUGCGGGAUGACGGCCUUCGGGUUGUAAACCGCUUUCGCCUGUGACGAAGCGUGAGUGACGGUAAUGGGUAAAGAAGCACCGGCUAACUACGUG